rnacentral:rRNA from 1 species
GAUCCUGGCUCAGGAUGAACGCUAGCUACAGGCUUAACACAUGCAAGUCGAGGGGCAGCAUUUCAGUUUGCUUGCAAACUGGAGAUGGCGACCGGCGCACGGGUGAGUAACACGUAUCCAACCUGCCGAUAACUCGGGGAUAGCCUUUCGAAAGAAAGAUUAAUACCCGAUGGUAUAAUCAGACCGCAGUGGUCUUGUUUAAUAAAGUAAGUUUCGGUUAUCGAGUGGGGAUCGUCCGUUCCUAGUUAGGCUUAGG